UGGAUCCAGACUUUGAUUAUGGCUCAGGAUGAACGCUAGCUACAGGCUUAACACAUGCAAGUCGAGGGGAACCGAUAGAGGAAGCUUGCUUUUUCUAGGCGUCGACCGGCGCACGGGUGAGUAACGCGUAUCCAACCUGCCCACCACUUGGGGAUAACCUUGCGAAAGUAAGACUAAUACCCAAUGAUAUCUCAAGAAGACAUCUGAAUGAGAUUAAAGAUUUAUCGGUGAUGGAUGGGGAUGCGUCUGAUUAGCUUGUUGGCGGGGUAACGGCCCACCAAGGCGACGAUCAGUAGGGGUUCUGAGAGGAAGGUCCCCCACAUUGGAACUGAGACACGGUCCAAACUCCUACGGGAGGCAGCAGUGAGGAAUAUUGGUCAAUGGGCGAGAGCCUGAACCAGCCAAGUAGCGUGCAGGAAGACGGCCCUAUGGGUUGUAAACUGCUUUUAUAAGGGAAUAAAGUGAGCCUCGUGAGGUUUUUUGCAUGUACCUUAUGAAUAAGGACCGGCUAAUUCCGUGCCAGCAGCCGCGGUAAUACGGAAGGUCCGGGCGUUAUCCGGAUUUAUUGGGUUUAAAGGGAGCGUAGGCCGGAGAUUAAGCGUGUUGUGAAAUGUAGAUGCUCAACAUCUGCACUGCAGCGCGAACUGGUUUCCUUGAGUACGCACAAAGUGGGCGGAAUUCGUGGUGUAGCGGUGAAAUGCUUAGAUAUCACGAAGAACUCCGAUUGCGAAGGCAGCUCACUGGAGCGCAACUGACGCUGAAGCUCGAAAGUGCGGGUAUCGAACAGGAUUAGAUACCCUGGUAGUCCGCACGGUAAACGAUGGAUGCCCGCUGUUGGUCUGAAUAGGUCAGCGGCCAAGCGAAAGCAUUAAGCAUCCCACCUGGGGAGUACGCCGGCAACGGUGCAACUCAAAGGAAUUGACGGA
rnacentral:rRNA from 1 species